UCUAAGAGGAGAGAUUUUAUCAUUCAUCUGAUAAACGCUCACACUAGUUCUGUGUGGUAGAAAGACAGAUGUGUUGUUUGCAUAUGUGAGCUGCUUCACUACUCCACACACUUUAAGAGCUGUAGUGGUGAUCAGAGAGUGUUCAGUCCUUUAACACAUACUGACACACAGCACAAUGAUGAUGUCACUCAUUCUACUGCUGGGGACCCUGGGACUCCUCACUCAGGAAUCAUUUGGGGAGAUAAUCCUGACUCAAUCUCCAGGAUCUCAGUCUUUUCAACCAGGACAGACUGUUACUAUCAGCUGCAGGGCCAGUGAGAGUGUUGGUAGUUACCUCCACUGGUAUCUCCACAAACCUGGAGAAGCUCCUAAACUCCUGAUCUAUUAUGCAUCAAACCGUCAGUCUGGGAUUCCAGCUCGUUUCAGUGGUAGUGGAUCAGGUACAGAAUUUACCCUAAAAAUCAGUGGAGUCCAGGCUGAAGAUGCAGGAGAUUACUACUGUCAGCAGGGUUACAGCACUCCGUGGACUUUCGGUGGUGGAACAAAACUAUCAGUUGGACGUGACGCCCCGCCCACCCUCACGGUCCUGCCCCCCUCCAGUGUACAGCUGCAGCAGGAGAAGGUCACACUCGUGUGUCUGGCCAACAAGGGCUUCCCCUCAGACUGGAAGCUGAGCUGGAAGGUGGCUGGUAGCAGCUGGAGCUCGGGGGUGAGCCAGAGCUCCGGGCUUCUGCAGAAGGACGGCCUCUACAGCUGGAGCAGCACCCUGACCCUCCAGAAGGAGGAGUGGCUGAAGAAGACAGUGACCUGUGAGGCCACCAAGGACUCCCAGUCUCCUGUCACACAGACACUGAGUAGAGAGCAGUGUGCUGAGGCGUGA